UUAUUCCUCAGUGUCACAUUGUAUCUACUGGAUCUGUGUGUCAUCUCUAGAGCAGGGCGGUUCAUGAUUUCUGGUUGACCUCGAAUGAUCCGUGCGCGCGCCUUGAUGAGAUUGAGGCGAUGACGCGUCAAAUCCACCAAUAGUGUCGCUGUCCGAGAAAAGAUGGUGUGAGAUGUUCAAACCUCAUCUCUUACAUCACACUCACUCCAUCUGCCCAUCUAAACAGAAAAUGCUUAGAAAAAAUAGCUGGUUUUAAAAUCGCGUCUCUUUGAAUGAGUUCACUGGUUUGUUUUACUGAAUUAAGCUUUUGAAGCACAAACCAAUUUUUUUUUUUCUUUCUUUCAAAUGACAUUAUGAACCGACUCUACUCGCCGACUCGACACAUAGUCGCAGGUUACUUGAGAUAAACUACCUGGAGGACAAGCAAGACACCUUUGGAAAGUGGACUCGAGGGCCUUCGUCGUUUUGUAAAAGUACAAGAAUGAACCCCGUGAAUAUGAACAGUUUGAACGUAUCCAUCUCUGGAAACCAGCACGCGAAUCAGUUCGCCGUCUAUGAGUCUCCGCUGUACAAGGACUACAGACCUCCAGCCAGAGAUCUCAUCCAGCUCCCCAGAGCCCUGCUCUACCUGAUGAUGGCCGCGGUGGUGGUGGUCGCUGUCGCUUAUGCCAUUGUGGGACAUUUAAUUAAAGACCUCGCGCAUGACAUCUUGGACUGGGCUUUGGGUCCAGAUGAGGAGAUCUUAAAGGUCAACAGUGAGGCGGGUGAUGAUGGUUCCACGCACAUGCCACCAGGCCUCACACACUCCCACCCCAACGCCUUUCAUGUUUGGGAUCAGGACGACGUGGUCAUCCCCCUCUCUCCAGUGGACAGCCCUCAAACCAGCCCCCUUUUGGCUACCAUCCCUUUUAUCCCUCACUUCUUCCCCUCUCCUGCUUCUCACAGUGUGCUGAAUAGCCCCGCACUGCCUCAAAUACACCCAGAGGAUAACAAGAGCCCCACAAAGACACCACAAGAUGCCUAUGUCUUCCCUUCACCCAAUAUGAAAGGACAUAGUUCUGCUUUCUCACACAUGUCAUUUCAUGAAAGGAGAGAUGGGACCGAUAAAGUUUGAACCACCGAACAAUGGCUCACACUAGAUUGUAGUCCAUGAAUUCUUAAAGGAAUAGUUCAACCAUAAAAAGAAAAUUUGCUGAAUAUUACUCACUCUCAGGACAUCCAAGAUGUCAAUAAGUUUGUUUCUUCAUCAGAACAGUUUUGGAGAAAUUAUAUCACUUGCUCACCAGUGGAUCCUCUGCAGUGAAUGGGUGCCGUCAGAAUGAGAGUCCAAACAGCUGAUAAAAACAUCACAAAAAUCUACACCUUAUGAAGUGAAAAAUGGCAUGUUUGCAAUAAGCAAAUCCAUUAUUAAGAUGCUUUUAAUAAUGAAUUCAUAAAUUUUCUUUAAUAAUUAACUUUCUCUUGUGAAAAUGUUGUCUUGUCUGAAUCAGGAGUGAAAUAUCCACAAAUCAAGUACUGUUUACAAGCGAAAACAUUAAAAACUACAAAACAGUUCUAAACAAAUAUGUUGGUGGAUUUUAAUGUGAGAGGACAAGAGGAUGGACUUUUUCCACUGUUUAUUUUAUUAUGGACUUCAUAAUCAUGGACUUUUUUUUGGCCAAAAGUGACAAUUAAAAGUUAACAUUCCUUGAUGGAUUUGUUUCUUACAAACACAAAGUUUACACUUCCCAAUACGUUAAUUGUUUGACUAAAAUCUUGUUGAUUUCUUGUGGAUUAUUUUUAUCAGCUGUUUGGACUCUCAUUCUGACGGCACCCAUUCACUGCAGAGGAUCCUCUGGUGAGCAAGUGAUGUAAUGCUAAAUUUAUACAAAUCUUUUCAGAUGAGAAAACAAACUCAUCCUCAUCUUGGAUAGCUUGAGGGUGAGGGCAUUUUCAUUUUUGGGUGAACUAUUUUUUUAAGUUUAAAUCCCUCCCUUUAAAUAGAUGAAAUUAACUAAGAAACUUUUGGCUUCUUUGAUCAAUGCCCACGGGGUUGUCUGUAUUUACCACAGUACCCUAAAUUUUUCUAUUUGACUGCAAAAGCUGGGCCUCAACCUGUGGAGCAUAUGAGGAUGAGUGGCCUGUCCUCAAAAUAAGUGCUGUUGACCCUAAAUGACCUCAGUAAGCAGAGAGCAAUGUCAGUCCAAGCCGCAUUACUUGGGCGUGUUACAAAGUGAGAGACUGCACAAUCACGUCUGUAGGAUUGAGCCAAUUCAGGAGCAGCCUUCCUCCUGAAGCCAAAAUAAAUCCUCAGAACAGAUUUAGUUCA
ensembl:lncRNA